rnacentral:rRNA from 1 species
AACGAACGCCGGCGGCAUGCCUAACACAUGCAAGUCGAACGAAGCCUUUGGGCUUAGUGGCGCACGGGUGCGUAACGCGUGGGAAUCUGCCCUUGGGUUCGGAAUAACAGUUAGAAAUGACUGCUAAUACCGGAUGAUGUCUUCGGACCAAAGAUUUAUCGCCCAAGGAUGAGCCCGCGUGGGAUUAGGUAGUUGGUGGGGUAAUGGCCCACCAAGCCGACGAUCCUUAGCUGGUCCGAGAGGAUGAUCAGCCACACUGGGACUGAGACACGGCCCAGACUCCUACGGGAGGCAGCAGUGGGGAAUAUUGGACAAUGGGCGAAAGCCUGAUCCAGCAAUGCCGCGUGAGUGAUGAAGGCCUUAGGGUUGUAAAGCUCUUUUACCAGGGAUGAUAAUGACAGUACCUGGAGAAUAAGCUCCGGCUAACUCCGUGCCAGCCGCCGCAGUAAUAC